rnacentral:rRNA from 1 species
UACGGAGGGUGCAAACGUUGCUCGGAAUCAUUGGGCGUAAAGCGCACGUAGGCGGCUCGUUAAGUCGGGUGUGAAAGCCCUCGGCUCAACCGAGGAAGUCGCAUUCGAAACUGGCGAGCUUGAAUAUGGAAGAGGGUCGCGGAAUUCCCGGAUGUGAGAGGUGAAAUUCGUAGAUAUCGGGAGGAACACCAGUGGCGAAGGCGGCGACCUGGGCCAAUACUGACGCUGAGGUGC